UUAGAAGCGAAAAGAUGAGUACCCAGGCGAAGAUCCUCAGCGAGUUGUCAUUUUGGUGCAAGACAAUGAUCGGGAACUGGUGAAGAUGGUCUUUUAAAGCAUUCAGUUGCAAACGGCGACCGCAAGCAACUGACGGGCACUCCCGUUACUGAGUUAGAGUAUCACACAUCAAGAUGUGUCGUACUUAGAGCGAGUCGACCAUUUCGACUAAUCAAGGUGGUAACGCGGAAAGAAUCCGUCCUUGUC
rnacentral:ncRNA from 2 species